rnacentral:rRNA from 1 species
UCAACGGAGAGUUUGAUCCUGGCUCAGGACGAACGCUGGCGGUGUGCCUCAAACAUGCAAGUCGAGGGAGGGUUGGCGCCUAGCCAACUAGGCGUUUCAACUCUACCGGCGAACGGGUGAGUAACACGUGGGUAACCUGCCCUGAAGACGGGGACAACCUCGGGAAACCGGGGCUAAUACCCGAUACCCUCCUCGGGGGGCAUCCUCUGGGGAGGAAAGAUCGCAAGAUCGCUUCAGGAGGGGCCCGCGGCCUAUCAGCUCGUUGGUGGGGUAACGGCCCACCAAGGCGAUGACGGGUAGCUGGUCUGAGAGGACGGCCAGCCACACUGGGACUGAGACACGGCCCAGACUCCUACGGGAGGCAGCAGUUGG